rnacentral:rRNA from 1 species
UACAUGGGGUGCAAACGUUGCUCGGAAUUAUUGGGCGUAAAGCGCACGUAGGCGGAUCGUUAAGUCGGGGGUGAAAUCCUGGAGCUCAACUCCAGAACUGCCUUCGAUACUGGCGAUCUUGAGUCCGGAAGAGGUGAGUGGAACUCCUAGUGUAGAGGUGGAAUUCGUAGAUAUUAGGAAGAACACCAGUGGCGAAGGCGGCUCACUGGUCCGGUACUGACGCUGAGGUGCGAAAGCGUGGGGAGCAAACAGG